UACGUAGGCAGCGAGCGUUGUUCGGAGUUACUGGGCGUAAAGGGUGUGUAGGCGGUUGUUUAAGUUUGGUGUGAAAUCUCCCGGCUUAACUGGGAGGGUGCGCCGAAGACUGGAAGGCUAGAGUAUGGGAGAGGUAAGCGGAAUUCCUGGUGUAGCGGUGAAAUGCGUAGAUAUCAGGAGGAACACCUGCGGUGUAGACGGCUUACUGGACCAUAACUGACGCUGAGGCACGAAAGCGUGGGUAGCAAACAGG
rnacentral:rRNA from 1 species